AGCGAACGCUGGCGGCAGGCCUAACACAUGCAAGUCGAGCGCCGUAGCAAUACGGAGCGGCAGACGGGAGAGUAACACGUGGGAACGUACCCUUUGGUUCGGAACAACCCAGGGAAACUUGGGCUAAUACCGGAUAAGCCCUUACGGGGAAAGAUUUAUCGCCGAAGGAUCGGCCCGCGUCUGAUUAGCUAGUUGGUGGGGUAACGGCCCACCAAGGCGACGAUCAGUAGCUGGUCUGAGAGGAUGAUCAGCCUCACUGGGACUGAGACACGGCACAGACUCCUACGGGAGGAAGCAGUGGGGAAUAUUGGACAAUGGGCGGAAGCCUGAUCCAGCCAGGCGGCGUGGGUGAUGAAGGCCCUAGGGUUGUAAAGCCCUUUCGGCGGGGAAGAUAAUGACGGUACCCGCAGAAGAAGCCCCGGCUAACUUCGUGCCAGCAGCCGCCGUAACAC
rnacentral:rRNA from 1 species